AUGGAGCCUGUCUUCUCAGGGCUUCCUCCCACUCAUCUCACACAUACACACACACACACACACACACACACACACACACACGCCUUCCUCAGCGGUAUGGAGGUCACCCACCAUCUUAGAAUCUUCACCACCUUUUUUUUCUUCCCCCCACCAUUAACAGAUUUUAACAGUUUACAGGUAUACAGCUGUCGUCCCAACAAUCCCAUAAGCUGAUACCUGGACCGACUCAGGAAACAGAAGAGAGCUGGCUGUUAUAACAUUUACCAACAUACCCCUGCCCAAAGCCUUGCAAAGAAAAGAAAAAGACAAGCCAUGAUGAAAAACAGGGUGGUUUGAGUGGAAAAAGUCCUAGGAUGAAGAAUCAGAAAAUUCUACUUCUGGAUUCACCUGUGCCACUUAUUUGGGCCAGUAACUUAUCCUCGCUGAAUCUCAACUUGCUUGACUGUAAAAUGGGAAUGAUGCUACCUGUCCUACUUAACUUUAUAGUGUUGUUGUAAAAAUUAAAUGAAGUCAUGGCAUAAAAAUGCUUUGUAAAGUGUUUUCCUUUCCUAUUGGAACUGCUUAGGCUAUUAUUCGAUCCUAUCUUUACAGUUGCUUCACCCACUAUUUUGACCAAGAUGAAUAAAAGGUAAGUUACGGUUCUGUCCA
rnacentral:lncRNA from 1 species